AGGCACAUUUGAACUGUGAUAUCCAGGGGGUGGAAAGCUGAGAGUGAUUUCACAACAUUGUUCCUGAAAUAAUCCUGCUAAAGUCAAGAGGGCUCCUUGAACAGAGCCCCUGGAGUCCUACAGUGCUCAGAGUCACAGCAACAUCAUCUCUGUGUCCCACACAGAGGUUGAGGUGAAGAAAAGGCCCCUCUCCCCUUUGGGGUGAAUUUGGCACCUCUCAAGAUCACAGGUUGUCAUCCUGGUUUGGCACAAGGCAUGAACCUCAUCACUGAGAGUUUUUGGCAGACUAUUUUAGGGAAAGGAUUUUGUAUCGACACCUCGGAUAGGAUGAAGAUAUACUGUAAAGAGCUGAUGGACAGAUGUGAAGGGUCCUCUGCUGCCCAUGCCAAGGGGGUGACCAGGGACAUCCCAGCUGGACUGCUGCCUUUCCUCAAACCUAAAGGAAGAUCCCAUCUCCUCCCUGAGGGCACUCCCAGCUCCAGCAGCACCUCCAGCACUGCUGUCUGCCCCUUCUCCCUCCCAGUGGGAUGCCUGAGCCAGGAAUCCCAGACUCCUUGUUUAUUUUCCAGCUGGGAGUGAUCAGCACCUUCAGGCAGCUCCAGGCUGGAAUGCUGCCGGGAUGUUACACCCCAGACAGGCAGAAUGAGGGUGAGCUAAAUACAGGCACUUGUUUCAGUUUAUAAAUUAGCACCCCCAGCCCACAGGACGGGCAGAUGUAGCAAAGUUUGUGUGAUUAAAUGAUAAAGUCUGGACAUCACAGAGUAAGCUGGCCCAGGUGUGGAGUUACAAUUGGCCAGAAAAAGCCAACAUGAAUUUUGGGAUUUUUCUUCUCUUCCUUGGGCACUGUGCAGAGCUCAGGCAAAAAAUCCACUCUCCUCUCCCUGUAAAGGCUGUAACACAUCAGAGCCCCACUGCAUCCCUGCAUCCAGCAUCCCCAUGGCAUUCCUGAUAACCAGAGGGUCACAGCGAGAGCAUUUAGUGCCCAGAGCCAGAGGAGUGAUUCCAGAGCCAGCAGCUCUCAGGCUCUCCUGUGGGACACCUGGACAAAAAUCUCAGGACCUCCUGCCUGCAAGAGGUACCACAGCCCCAGCAGUGUGUCCUGCUCCCAAUGAUAACCCAAAAUCUAUUUUGGGACUGUCUGGUCUUGAAAAGGGCUCUGCAGCUCCAGCUCUAGAGGAAAUGCAACCAGGAUUAUACUAACAAAGAGGAAAUUGAACUCAGUGGCUUGACGCUGUCUGAAUUUUGAAAGAAUUUCAUUCUGGAUGUUUAGGAAGCUUCUGUCUCUUGCAGAUGAGCUGCAUCCAUUGCCAAAUGUAUGUCCUCUCAGAGAGAAAAAUGAGGUUUAUUUCUGUUACAAGCCUACAGGACUUGUUUCAGUUUUGCAUAUUUCUUUUCUAAAUGGGAGCAUUUUAGAGGAAAAGAAAAUACUUCAAAAAUCCUUCCUAAAAAGUGACUCUGAAAAUGUUUUGAUCUGAUUGAUCCAUCAAGCAGUGGCUGAGGGAAAGGAAAAGAUGACAGCUGCUCCUUUUGUUGCAUGCUGUUCUGAUUAGCCUCAGAUAAGGUGCUCUCUCUCACCCCUGGCCCUCCACGUAGGGAAUGCACAGAGCUCUGUAGGCUCCACUGAGGACACUCCAUGUGGGAGCAGAUCUCCUGCUGCUGGAAGGAAAAGAUUUCUUUUUGCCCAGGACUGUUUGGAAAACCAUGGUUGGAUUUAAAUUCAGAGUAAAAACAAUAAAAAUUUAGGGAAGACUUUAGGGGUUUUUCCAAAAGAGUUCAAAGGUAGCUCUGUGAUCUGUUUUUCUGAGGAUGGGGGUAACUAUUCUGUAUCAGCCCUGGAUGGAUGGAAAGGACUUUUCUUUCCUUCUUUUCCUUCUUUGUGCCUCCUCUAUUCCCAACCCUCCACUCCCACCCAGGAGCAGAGGGUGAUUUGUUUACUGGCUGCAAUGAAACCCACCUAAUAUAAAGUCCAUGGCUAAAGCCUGUGGACAUCAGGGCAGCCUUAAUGAAAUUUCUUUGCCUGAAACACAUUAGUAGGCACGAGCUGAGACUGGAAAAAAGAUUAGACUGCUGAAGAGCUGGCAGAGCUGGAGCUUUCAGUGUGAAAAUCAGCAGAGAGAGCAUGGCAGAAAAAGGAGCCAGACUCACAAGGGGCUGAUCUGGCUGUGCUAACAUCCUGGCUGCCUGAGCCCCAUGCUCAUGCCUGUCCUUUUCCCAAAUCCCUUCUGAUCUCAGCCCUCCCUGUGGGCCUGCAGAGACCUCACAUCUUCCCAUCCUCCCUGGCCUGCAGCAGAGCUGGCAGAGAGGAUGAGAUCCUGUGAUGGUCAAGGCAAUAAGCUCCUGCUGGCUUGGUCAGGGAGAGGAGCCAAGGCUCUGGAAGCUCUGCAGAGAUCUAGAUUCCCUUGAAGCUGAGGCAAGGCCUGCAUGCUUUUGCUUGAUUUCCACUGCAGUUCUGUCCUGGAUUUGAGUCCAUUUUACACUGAGGCAGCAGAGAUGCCCAAGGGCUGUGUUUCUGUGCAGAGAGCAGAAGGGAGGUCAGACACAGGGAAGCCCUCAGGCUGUGUUAAUGUCUCCCUGAAGACAGGCAGCUGAGCAGAUGGCAUCUCAGAGCCCAGCACUGUGCUCACACCAGCAGCUUUUAUAACCCUUCAGCUGAUGACCCCAACGUGUCACCUCCCAGGUUUGCACCUGGAAGAGAGCAUGGCUGGAAGUCCCUGCAGUGCAAGAACAACUUCAGUUUUGAGAGGAGCUGGCAGCUCCUCCCAUCAGUCAAAGGUUCAGAGGCAAGGCUGUGCACACUGGAGCCAGAGAGCCAGCAUAGUCUGGCUCUGACUGCCUCCCAGAAGACAAAUGUUUGACUUUUCUGCUGUACCCUUUCAGAUGCGUUACAGACCUGUGAUCUUGUCUGUGCUCUUAAUGGCUUUGUCAAGAGAUCAUUUCUGCUCAAGCCUUGUUAGUCUUAAUAAAGAUUAAAUAAAGCCAU